UUUUCCUCUUUUGCAAUAUUUGAUUUCUCACAAAAUACAACGCAAGAAAAAACAAUCUUUCAUUUUGACAGACAAGUCUUAGGUUUUCUCGGGUUCUUACAACUUUUGACUGCCUCAACGUGACACAACUGAAGCAAAACAAGAACACACAAAAAAUGACUACAUCAAAAAGAGUUGCAGAGAGGAAAGUGGCUAAGUUUGAGAAGAACAUAACAAGGAGAGGAUUGAAUCCUCUAACAGGGAAGAACAAAAUGGAACCAGCACACAUUGUUCUUGCACUCUUUGCUGUUUUGGUCAUUGGAUCUUUUGUUUUCCAGGUUGUGAAGAUGGCAAUUAAUGGUGGGGUGCAAUGAAGGUGGAAGCUUUUAAUUUCUCCAGAAAAAUGAAACUUUAAGUGCAGAAGCUUAUCUUUUUAGAAUUAAUGGUUAAAGCUACAUUUUCAAACAAACUAUAAAUAAGUUUGUGAUAACAUUCUCUCUUGCUUGGUUGUACUACCUUGUUAUGUUAAUUUCUUUUCCUUC